GGCACUUUUCCUAGAUGAAUGGAUUGUGUAAAUACCUUUCCUGUACAACAUAAGGUGUCUAAAGAUAGUGGGUAUAUUUUAGACUGGUCUCCAAAAAUUGAUAAAAGACAAUUAUGAAGAAAUUCUGCUAUGACACCUGCAGGAUUUGUUAGUAAUAUUUUGACUUAUAGUAAAGGAGGUGUUCAGAAAGAUAUUUGGCGUUUAGUUGCUGCCUCAGAAUUCUUACAUUUUACAGACAAACCUUUACCAAAAUUUGUUGGCAAGAACUGUAAAGAGGGAUCUUGCUAUGGCUUACGAGCCUGUAUCCAAUCUCCUUAUGUUUUAAUUAUUGGAAAUGUAAAAGUUAAAUGGAUAAAUGACAGAUCUAUUGUUACUUGUAAUAAAUGCAACCUAACCAAUUGUAUUACUAGGUAUAAUGGAGGAAAAGGAGUGCUGAUACUUCAUCAGCCCUCUUUCGUUUUAUUACCUGCUAAUAUUUCAGAGCCAUGGUAUGCUGAUACUGGUUUACAAGUCUUGCAGCAAAUUCAUGCCCAGUUAGCAAGACCUAAACGUGCUAUUGGAGUUAUAAUUGUUGAUGUUUUGGCGCUAGUCUCCUUUAUUGCCUCAACUGUCUCUGCAUCUCUGACAUUGUCUCAGAAUAUUCAGCAUGCAAAAUUUCUUAAUAACUUAGCUCAAAAUACUUCCAAGGCUUUGUGUAAUCAAGUAAAUAUUGAUGAAAGGAUUGAGACUAAAUUAAAUGCCUUAGAGGCAACUGUUAUAGACAUAGGUAAUGAACUUUCAGCCUUAAAAUUUAAGGAAAGGCUUAAAUGCCAUGCCAAUUAUAAGUAUGUUUGUGUUACAGCUGCCAAGUACAAUGCUUCUCUCUGGGAUUGGGAGAAGGUUAAAAACCAUUUGUUAGGUAUUUGGCAAAAUAGUAAUAAUAGCUUGGAUAUUCUGGAACUCCAUCACCAUAUCCAAGACAUUCAAAAUAAUAGAGCUGAUUUUUCAGAUCCUUCUUCUUUGGCAAACCAAAUAUUGAAGGAGUUGAAUGGAUUCAACCCUGGAAAUAUUCUUAAACACUCGGCCUGGUACAUUAUUGGAUUAUUCUCUUUGCUGUUAAUUCUCUUUUGUGUUGUAAUUAUAGGAUGGAGAGUCUUCAGAACAAGAAUACAGAAACUCCAAAGAGUGAACCGCCACCUCAUUUUUAAGAAUAGAAAGGGGGAAUAUGUGGGAAGCCAUCCUGACAUGUGACUGGGUGACUCCCGGUUUGGGUCUGAGGCUUCUGGCUGUGUCGGAAUUUUCCCGGCCCUCUCCUGAUGAGAGAACCCGUCCGUGUGGGGGUGUGACUGACCACUGACCCCGGGGGCCCAAUCACUGACCCUGACCUUGGAGUGCAGUACCCCCUCAACCUUCAUUGGAUGGAAUUAUCCCCUGAAUUUCUUGUUCCCCAAUAAAAGGCUACUCCCUGGUGUGUUCUCUCUCUCUCUCUCUCUCUCUCUCUCUCUCUCUCUCUCUCUCUCUCUCUUCUGCUAGCCCUGAGUAAUCCUUGCUGCCCUGCUGGGCAGUUAGAGGUUGGAGCCAGAGAGGGGAGCCGUCUCGGACCUGGCAAUAGAAAUAAGGUAACUGAGUCUGUGUGUUUUAUUUCGAUCUCUUCUAGCUAACUUUAUGCCAAGAACCUCAUUAAUGAAACCAUUGCACAGGCCGCAUGGUGGAAUUCUCAGUUAAGACGAAGGAUGGUUGGUGAAAGAAUAAUGUUCCUCUCUGUCUGUUAAAUCUAGUGAUGCAAUUAGUUAGAUUGCAUCUUUUAAAGGCUACAAGAUAUUUACUACCUUUUUUCUUAACUCUUACAUUUCCAACAGUUAAGGCAUAAAAAGAUUGAACAUAGGUUCUCAGGCCAUAGCAGGAACCCUCUUUGCAAUUCCUGCCUACACACUCAGUGAUAGGGCCAUCUGUAUUAUGUAGAAAAGUUGAGGCUGCAAUUAAGGGCCAGAGAUCUUUUUGGAUACCACCUUUGAUGAAUGUUAGAAUAUUACCAACAAUACCUCCAGAGGUCAUGGCAUCUUUAUAUAGUUGUCUUUUAUCUACUCUUGGAGACAAAUCCAAAAUAUGUCCACCACUUCUAGAAACUUUAUGUUGUCCUGGCAAGACAUUUGCACAUUCCAUCCAUUUAGGAAAGGUGCAAAAUUCUAUUGCAGAAUGAUGAAGGCAGUAAGGUGUUUGUGGACAUUCUGUGGAAAUGACUGGCUUGUUAUGAGAAUGAACCCUUGUAAUAACUGUCCAUACAUAUAAUAUUAAGUCCCAUGGGCCAGUAUAAUUGGCUAGCCUAGGUUCCCCAUAAACUGUCUUUUCCUCAACAGAUACCUUUAAACAGCGAACAUGUUUAUCAUGGGACCAACAUAUAGGUAGUUUCCCACUGUAGCCAGUAUAAUUAAAAUCAGUCACAUGGAUGGAUGUAAUGUGAGUAUCUGUAUUCUAUGUAAUGAGAAUCAUUAGUAAGUACUGUGAUGGAUUCUCCAGUCCACAUCACUGGAUCCACUACAGGUGAAUCCAGGAAAUAGGUCCAAUAAGUUUCUCCAUGAACCCCACCCACCUGACAGUUCAACAGAGCUAUCAUGGCCACAGACAUUGUGGUUGGAGACUUAAUAUCUCUUUGUUGUCGAACCAUGUGUACAACCUGUUGCACUGCACAGCCUGUUGCCUCAGAUUCUUCAGUUGUUUCCAUGAUGGCAGUUUGGAUGUUUGGUCCCUUGGGGCCUUCCUCAUCCUUUUCCUCCAUGAUAGCUUCCUGUUCCUGCUGGAGGAACAUCUGGAUUGAUUUUCAGUUGUUUGAACUUUGGCUCCAGGUCCUCCAUGUCUGAUGGCAUGUUCAGGUACCCAAAUAGAACAAAAUACACCUUCUGGGAAAACACAAGCAUGAUGUCUACCCAACAUUAUCACUGGGUCUGGUCCUUUCCACUAUCCUAUUUGUAAAUCUUUCCACCAAACUAGGCCCAAUGGACCUGUUACAGUGGAAGACAUGUUUGAGCAGCAGUGCAACCUUCAGAAUCACAAUUUUAAAAAUUUAGAAACAAACAAGGCAUGAUUAAGGUUAUUUUGUGGGGUCUUAUUUAUCCCUUUUUGUUUUGUACUUGUAGAUUAAUAGAUAAAUUAGUGUGCUCUACAAUGGCUAGACCUUGAGGAUUAUAAGGAAUGCCUGUUUAAUGAUCAAUAGAAAAUGGUGGCAAAACUGCUGAAAAGAACUAGUAUAAACUGGAGCAUUAUCAGUUUUAAUCUGUAAAGGACAGACUUAUAAAGCAAAAUCAGCUAUGCAAUGAAAAAUGACAUGUUGAAUAUUCUCUUUUACAUGGGCAGUCACAAAGAUAAAUCUAGAAUAAGUAUCAACAAUAACAUGUACAUAACAAUUUUUGCAAACUGAUGGAUGUGAGUUACAUCCAUUUGCCACAGCUGAUUUGGUGGUAAACCAUGGGGAUUAACUUCAGUUGGUGAAGAUGGAAUAUGUAUAACACAUUGUGGACAUUUGCAAACAACUUGAUAAGCUUGUUCCCUUAUAACAUAAAAAUUUUUUAUGUACACUAGAAACAUUCUGAUGAUGUAAAGAAUGUCAGGUUUGUGCACAAUCAUAUAAAGACAUUUGUUGACAGGCAGCAACAAGUUUAUCAAUCUUAUCAUUUUCUGAUGCCAAAGAACCUGAAAUAUUAUAAUGUGCUUUGAUAUGACUAAUGAAACUAGGAUAUUGAUGCAUUUGAAUUGUCUUUUGCAAAGUAUGGAACAAAUGGAAUAGUUCUUUUGAUGGUUUAUUUCUAACAGUAGCUGUUUCAAUAUGUUUAGCGAAUCCAACCAUAUAUGCACUAUUGCUAUAAAUAUUAAUUGGCUCAUUAGUAAGAUGAAGUAAAGUACAAAUGAGAGCUUGAAGCUCUGCUCAUUUUGCAGAAGUAUAUGAAGUCUGUGUUAUUUCAGUAUGAGCAUGGCUAUAGAAACCUGCUUUUCCUGAACUUGAGCCAUCAGUAAACACCGUCAUUGCUAUGACUAUUGGUUGAUCACAUAAUUUUUGGAAAAAUAAAUGAAGUACAAGAGCAAAUUGAACAACCUUAUUACAAGGAUAAUGACUUUCUAGAUGACCAGGAAAAUUAGCAAAAGCGAUUUGCCGUUCUCUCUCUCCUCCACCCUCUCCUCUCUUCUUCUUCUCUUCUCUUCUCUUCUCUUCUCUUCUCU
rnacentral:lncRNA from 1 species